rnacentral:rRNA from 1 species
UUGUCUCAAAGAUUAAGCCAUGCAUGUCUCAGUACAAGCCAAAUUAAGGUGAAACCGCGAAAGGCUCAUUAAAUCAGUUAUGGUUCCUUAGAUCGUACCCACAAUUACUUGGAUAACUGUGGUAAUUCUAGAGCUAAUACAUGCAAAUAGAGCUCCAACCGGAGACGGAAGGAGUGCUUUUAUUAGAUCAAAACCAAUCGGUGGCGGUUGGUGACUCUGAAUAACUUUACGCUGAUCGCACGGUCAUAGCACCGGCGACGCAUCUUUCAAAUGUCUGCCUUAUCAACUGUCGAUGGUAGGUUCUGCGCCUACCAUGGUUGUAACGGGUAACGGGGAAUCAGGGUUCGAUUCCGGAGAGGGAGCCUGAGAAACGGCUACCACAUCCAAGGAAGGCAGCAGGCGCGCAAAUUACCCACUCCCGGCACGGGGAGGUAGUGACGAAAAAUAACGAUACGGGACUCAUCCGAGGCCCCGUAAUCGGAAUGAGUACACUCUAAACCCUUUAACGAGGAUCAAUUGGAGGGCAAGUCUGGUGCCAGCAGCCGCGGUA